rnacentral:tRNA from 1 species
GCGGAUGUAGCCCAGUGGAUCAAGGUAGUGGAUUUGUGAUCACACCUGCGCGGGGAGAAAAAAAGAA